rnacentral:rRNA from 1 species
AGCGAACGCUGGCGGCAGGCUUAACACAUGCAAGUCGAGCGGGCACUUCGGUGUCAGCGGCAGACGGGUGAGUAACACGUGGGAACGUACCCUUCGGUUCGGAAUAACGCUGGGAAACUAGCGCUAAUACCGGAUACGCCCUUUUGGGGAAAGGUUUACUGCCGAAGGAUCGGCCCGCAUCUGAUUAGCUAGUUGGUGGGGUAAUGGCCUACCAAGGCGACGAUCAGUAGCUGGUCUGAGAGGAUGAUCAGCCACACUGGGACUGAGACACGGCCCAGACUCCUACGGGAGGCAGCAGUGGGGAAUAUUGGACAAUGGGCGCAAGCCUGAUCCAGCCAUGCCGCGUGAGUGAUGAAGGCCUUAGGGUUGUAAAGCUCUUUUGUCCGGGACGAUAAUGACGGUACCGGAAGAAUAAGCCCCGGCUAACUUCGUG